UACGAAGGGGGCUAGCGUUGUUCGGAAUUACUGGGCGUAAAGGGCGCGUAGGCGGCUGUGCAAGUCAGGUGUGAAAGCCCUGGGCUCAACCCAGGAUGUGCACUUGAUACUGCGCAGCUAGAGUGUCGGAGAGGAUGGUGGAAAUUCCCAGUGUAGUGGUGAAAAUACGUAGAGAUUGGGAAGAACACCAGUGGCGAAGGCGGCGACCUGGACAGAUAUUGACGCUGAG
rnacentral:rRNA from 1 species